GACGAACUGUCCUAACGUUGUUCGGAAUCACUGGGCUUAAAGGGCGCGUAGGCGGUCGACCAAGUCAGGGGUGAAAUCCUGCAGCUUAACUGUAGAAGUGCCUUUGAUACUGGUCGUCUCGAGGGAGGUAGGGGUGUGCGGAACUUCCAGUGGAGCGGUGAAAUGCGUUGAUAUUGGAAGGAACGCCGGAGGCGAAAGCGGCGCACUGGACCUCUUCUGACGCUGAGGCGCGAAAGCUAGGGGAGCGAACAGG
rnacentral:rRNA from 1 species